AACAAGUGAACAUCCUUCUCCUCUCCACGGUGAUGCUUGUGUCUAUGAAUCAAUCAAAGGCCCUGAAGACAUUGAAAAUGAUGAAUCCAGGGAUGUCACAUAUUCUUUGAUUGAGCUUAAAAACAUCACUAAGGAGGGACAAUCAUCUCCUGCGGCAGCUGAAGAAACAUUUUAUUCUGAAAUCAAACCAGGAACAUCUCAUGGUCAAUAGAGAUCUGUAUCAACAAAACCAUCUGAAUAGAUCAUAAAAGUGAAGCUACUCACAUGAAUAGCAGAUAUUUAAAGACAUAAACCAGCUGAAUGUGCUGCUUUUAGUGCAGAUGUAUUUUAUAAAAAGCUUCAGUUUGUAUGAAUGUAGUGAUCGUGUGGCUUUAAUAUCAGCAUCUUUUUCAGUUCUUCAUGUUCUGUCAUCAAACAUCAUUCUGUUACAUGUCCACUUAAAGAAGCUAACUAUGUUGAGAAGAACUGAUAGUAUAACAAGUAUUUUAUGUUUCCCUGAACUGAUUAAGUAUAUUGUAAAAAGCUUGGCCUUUUCUCACAAUGUUA